ACGGACCACUCGUACAUUUCGAUUCUGAGCGCGCGUCCGCACCCACCUGACGACCGCCUGCUUUCUUGUGUUGGCC
rnacentral:sRNA from 1 species